rnacentral:rRNA from 1 species
AUUGAACGCUGGCGGCAUGCCUUACACAUGCAAGUCGAACGGGGGUAGCAAUACCCUAGUGGCGAACGGGUGAGUAAAGCAUCGGAACGUACCCAGUUGUGGGGGAUAACGUAGCGAAAGUUACGCUAAUACCGCAUACGCACUGAGGAGGAAAGCGGGGGAUCGCAAGACCUCGCGCAAUUGGAGCGGCCGCUGUCGGAUUAGCUAGUUGGUAGGGUAAAAGCCUACCAAGGCGACGAUCCGUAGCUGGUCUGAGAGGACGACCAGCCACACGGGGACUGAGGCACAGCCCAGACUCCGACGGGAGGAAGCAGUGGGGAAUUUUGGACAAUGGGCGAACGCCUGAUCCAGCCCAGCCGCGUGAGUGAAGAAGGCCUUCGGGUUGUAAAGCUCUUUCGGACAGAAAGAAAUCGAACGGGUAAAUAAUCCGUGUGGAUGACGGUACUGUAAGAAGAAGCACCGGCUAACUACGUGCCAGCCGCCGCAGUAA